UGAGACGGUCUGCGAUACUCGAGGUUACAAACUUAAGGUAUUUGGGAUAACAUUAAGAGAAACGUUUCUUGGAACGUAAUCUAUAAUUUCCUGUUUCGACAUCACGUAAUAUUUAUGUAAAAAAUAAAUGUGGUAAUAAAUAUUUAUAAAUAUAUAUUAUAAAUGCUGUGUAUUAUCCGAAUCACAGUCACUAUUAUACAUGUAUAAUUUAACUUAAAGUGUUAUUCAUAUUUUUCUGACAUAAAUACACUCUUAUUAAAAAUUCAUGUAACAAAUAUAUUUUUUAGUUUUUUUUCUACUUUAUAGAUUAUAAGAAUACUCGAACUAACGCUAUUUUAUUUUAAUAUAAAAAGAAAAGCAAGUACCAUAAAAUUUUGAGCAAUGUUAAUUUGUGAAAUCCCCCGAAGUUCUUGCACCCUUUCAUUUCCUUCCGAUUUGCUGAAUUUGUAUUGUCGAAAAGAGCCUGGACCAAUACAAAAUCGUUAUGUAAAUGUGAAUUCAGACCCCGAUACAGACUCUCGUGAAUAUGUAAUCAAAAUAUUAUUACUUCCAUUUCAAACCCUUUCGAAACUCGAUAAUGGACGAUCCUCUCCCUCCUACCCCUCCACCCUCUUUCCCCACUCAAUUGACUUGUCUGUCAAUAAAUAACCGCGGCUAGCGCGGUAAUCACUAUCUUUGUGGACGUAAUGACAGGAUUAAAACAAUGUUCUCUCAUCACCGCGUUUAAUUAUUAGUAGUGUAUCGAGAGACAGAGGGAGGAAAAAGGUAAAGGGGGAGGGGAAAAAUACGAUACCCAAGCCAGAGCUAGGCGUUUUAUUGACCGGUCAAACAUUCAUCGGAUUUCAUAUUUACACGCGCGUUCGCGAAUGAUGCGCGCGCGUGCUACGUAAAUGACCGCGAUUUAAGAGCGUUCGCAAUCGUGUAAUUAAAUUGGAUAUGUACCGGAUUCGGAUGUACGAGCACGCAGAGGCGCGCGGUGUGCCGGCCGGUAACAUGUAAAUUCGAUAAAUAUCGGAAAUUCGUGUACAAAUGGUCGGUACGUUCGUUUGACGAGGGCAACAAUUUUGCAACGGUAACCUACGCGCUACGAAUGUCGGAUUCGCGUUUAUUGUUUUUCAUCGAAUCGAACGUAUUGUCCUUGUGGCAGAUACCCGAUUAGACUUCCCGUUUCAAUCGAAAUUAAUCGUUGCCUUUGUUCACGAGACGAAAUGUGAAAAGCGACCGCUUAUUCGGCAAAAAUUAAUUUGGACUACAAAAAACCGGAAGGAACCAAUACUAUUUAUAACCUAUUGUUUUUGGAUGAUCGAAACAUAAACGUCGAACGCAAUAAGGGUCGCCAAGUGCACGGAAUGUGCGCACGAAGUGUACGGAGUGCACUUGGGUGCAGCAGUGACGUCACCGUCGCGGUAGUGCGUGAAGUUUGCCGCGCGACUUACGAACGUUCCUCGCCAUCUUGGAUUAUGUGUAGUGUCGAGAGGUGCCGCACGGUCGUGAUCUACCGCGUUGAUUAGUGCUUUCGAUCGUAAUUAAUCCGAAUGCAUCCGCAUGCAUGCGUGCGCGUGUGAACAUUAGAAGCGGCGGUGAACAAGUCUGGCGAAUUCUGAUGGGACUUGGGACACUCGGACUCUGCAAUUUCGAGAUUCCAGUGAUGCCGAGAUUCUAACCAGGAGAUUUGUACAGGGAAGAGUAGCGUGAUUCGGGCGACAGCGAUAUAACCGCGGUAAGUGAUUUGUAACUUGUUAAAGAAAGAAGACUAGAAACCUCCUGAAAAAACAAGGAAAUUCUGUUCUUUCACAAAAGUGGACUACGUACCUUGCAUGGUGUCGUUGUGGAAGCCACUGCUUGCUCAUCUCGGCGAUGUCCGAGUCAUUUUGCAUUUUGCUGUUGUAAUAUUGUACCCGUAAAAUAUUUUCAGUGCAAAUUUAUAAUUAUUUAAUCUAUUCUUGAAUAACAAGUUAGACUUUUUAUAAAAGUUUAAAUAAAAAUGUAUUUUUUUAAUUAUAAAAUUUUGCGCAGAAUAUUAAAAAAAAAACUUUCGGGAAUUUUUUUAAAAUAUUAAUUAAUUAUAAUUUAUAAAUUAUGCCUCUCAAAAGAUUCUUGCAAAAUGUGAAACAGCAUACAUAAAUAUUAGGCAAUUUUAAUAACGUAAAGAUGAAAAUAAAUGAUCUAACACCGAUCUACAUUUCAAAAUUAUCUCAAAGCUGAACGAUGAAAAUGAUUGAUAAUGAUCGAUUAAUAAUACUUUUAAGAUACAAACGUAUACUUAUCACAGUUUCUGUCGCAACGAAAUGAUUCAAUGAAAAUUUUGGAGUCGGAAAACAAAUUGGAAACCGAUGAAAACGUCGGGAUGCGACCUCGUCGCAGGGGCGCGAGAGUUAUGAUCGGGUGAAGAAAAUAAUGGUAGACGUCGCAAUGAAAUCGAAUAGUAAAUCGUUUAUUUAGUACGAAGGUGUGUGAUAGUGUCUCGAGAUUGCCGCCUCGGCCGACAUUUCCUGAUUUAAAAAUGCCCGACCGCGGCGGUGUGAUACCGUGACGUGAACGAGUGUGUGACAGAGCUUUUUCUUGUUCCUUAGCUGACGUAAGAGAUAGGUGUUAGAGCUAGUUACCCUGUUCUGCGAGCUGGUGCUGCGCCUUUUCGUCGCCGCCGCUCCCGCGAGCACGAGGGCCGACUCUUCACCGAGGACCUUCCCCGAGAAUCACCCUCGCCGAAGAUCGACCCCUCGACUCACCGCCCGCACUUGGUGGAACUUGGGACGCUCAGCGCUAUUGAUACCGUAUACCCGCGGACCGAUUAGAUUACCGUAGUCCGACCGAACUUCACCGAUAGGGUCUCGCGUUGACCAGGUCGCUCGCGCCAACCCUCGACUAGUAAUUCGAGUUGAAUUGUUGGCGAAGUUAGAUCGGACCAGGUGAAGAUUUAAUUCGCGUUGAAACGAGAACGUAGGUGCGGUAAAAUGAGCGCGUUCGAACUUUCCAGUUUGCUAGAGGUGCGACGAUUUUUGCGUCGAGCAAAAUAAAUUCGAGAUCGAAUUGCGCUAUGUCCGGCGGCGUUAGUUAAAUUAAAUAAAGAUAAAGAUCUAAUGUAUCAAAGAAUCAAAAUGUCGCAUUUGACUACGCGCUAUUUAAGCGGAAAAAUCUCUUUACAGUGUAUUUAACGCACUCUUCGGUUAUAGAAUUUUGCAUAUUUCGCCGUGCAAAAUUGGAGAACGUUUCGACACGAGAUUCGAGGGGCUGCGUUUCAGCGCUAAACGCGCGCUUCUAGACCGUCAGAUUGUCAUCACUUCUGAGCGUCCCCGGCGCGACGAAAGGGCGGAACGCCCGUGCGAGCUAACUUUCAAAGAGAUGCUACUUGUUACCUUCACUCGAGGUACUCUAGUGCCUAUGUUAUUGUGUCCUCUGUUCUGCCUACUGCGCUAAAAUCGCCGCUAAAAAAACGGCGGUACCAAAACGGUUGGGGUGAGAGGGGGAGCUGCUGAGGAAGAGGAACAGGGGAGAACGAUCCCCCUCGUACCCUCGUAGAACGUAACAAUAAAUAAUAAUAAUAAUCUUCGCAACUCGUAUACGCGUUCGAAAGGUAAGGAAACGUUCUCUAUUUCUAACUUUCGUUCGUGCAUUCUCUUCUUUAUUUUCUCCCGUCUCUUUUCUUUCUUCAAUCCUCUCUCCUUCUUCCGCUCGCUCCCUUUCUUACUCACGUCUUGAAGUUAGAGAGCACGCCAUUCUCCGCGCACAUGAGGCGGAAUAACAAUUAAGUAUCGUGAAGUAUGGCGAAUGAAAGAUUUGACAAAUCAAAUAUUUCGACACAUGCAACAAACGACUCAUGCUCGAUUCUGCAAUUUGUGUAAAUUGCAAAUUUAUAUACGGGAUGUUAGUAAUUCAAUAUAAAUCACGCGUUACCAAUUUGUACACUUGUUAAAUUAAAUUUUGUAUGGACCUGAAUCAAAAACAUUAAAAAAAAUUGGAUUUUAAAUGAAUUUUUCACCACAAAGAGUUUAAUUCGAGAUGUGCAUUGCCGAACAUUUUGCACGAAUCAAAUGGUAGAUAAGAAAUAGUUCAAACGACGCGUCCUCUUUGCAUCUCUGUUAUUCUAUUAUCAAUGUGUACGUUUGGAUCACGCAUGGUUUGUUUUCUUCGCUCGCUCGCUCGCCCAUUACACCCGAUAUGCAACGAUCGACCCGGAGAUUCCGAGUUUUCCUAUUAAAAAUAAAAACAAUAAUAACUUAGACCUCCAUUGUAUUAUAGCUAUGCACAAAAGAGAAAAAAAAGAUAAAACAACAUCGCGAAACAUUCAAUUAUAACAUGGACGCAAGAUACAAAAGCGUGUAACUCGAUCCGCCUUUCGUUUAUUCUUUCCCACACAUUUCUCCUGAUCUCUCUCUCUCUCUCUCUCUCUCUCUCUCUCUCUCUCUCUCUCUCUCUUUCUCUUGAUCUUCAAAUCUGACAUAUUCGCGUCGUGCGCGCACUUUGAUUGUAUGCAAUGUUUCUUUUUGAUCGUACGUGACUCUUGUCGUGAUAAGUACACACUGUACACCUUCAUUUUUCCGCCUCCGCUCUCGUCAGUCAUGCUCUCGCUAUUAAUAUUAUUUUAUUCGGCUCGAAUAUACACUUCCUGAGGAACGAUGAGAGCUGCCUUAGUCUAAUUUAAGAAAUCGAGUUAAUUAGCUAGUCAGAAAUUUCGCUGCUGGUUAAGAGCUUUUCUUCGAGUUCGGACGAAGCUCUGCAAUGCAAUUUGCAAAGUCGCUUCGGUACGAUUCGUUAACUCAUUAAUAAAUUAAAUUAGUUAAUUAAAUAAUACUAGUGAGCUGCUCGUAGUUCGUCGCAAGAAAGUCGAAGAUCUGCGCAUCGACGAAAGAAGUAACCUUUCGUCGUUACAAUUUAAAUCAGUACAGAAUUAUUCGAUUAUUUCGCAUUUUCCCAAUUAAUUUAGCUUGUUUGCUGAAAUCUUUCGCAAUGUGUUAAGGA